GGGAAAACACUGUGUGUCUCACUGCUUGAACCGAGAGUCAGUUUUCUUGAGUAAAUGCUUUCAGGGAUUAUUGCAAGCCUUUCGCUAAUCUUAAAUUUGGAGAAGCUUCUUUUGCACCCCCACGCGUGGCUUGUAUGUGGGUGUUUGGAAACUUUCUUCUGUCUUCCCCGUGAGUAUUGCAGUUAUUCUUAGCUCGGCAUUUGGUCCAUGGAGUCAACCUGCGUUUUCAAAAACCAAAAGCAGUAAAAAAGAGUCAGCCUAUGUUCUCUUAUCUCGGCCAUGAUCUUAAAGUCUGUCUUCUGGGUGUUUGUGGUCAUAGUUGCCAUGUAAUCCUGACACUAGAAGACCGUUAGGAGAAAUGAUCCAAGUGUUCAUAAUUCUGAUGGAGGAAGAUGUGGGCACAGAGACUGUGGUGGCUAUUCCUGGUUGUCAACUUAAUGACAUCUGGAACGAACUACAAUCCAGAAAUGGAGGGCACACCUGUGAUCCAGAUCUUGAGGCUGGAAGACACAGGCUUUUGACUCGGAUCUUGACAUGGAGAUCUUGAGGCAUAGUGGCCAUGAAAAUCAUAGGCCCAGGCAAGGUAGUACAUGCCUCUAAUCCCAGGAGACGGAAGCAAGGGGAUCCCUAAGUUCAAGCUCAGCCUGGGACAAAGCAAGUCCCAGAUCCAGGCAUGGUGGUACACAUCUUUAAUCUGGGCCACACCUUCUUCUGGAAGCCUACAUAAGGACAUUGGAAGAAGGAAGACUCACUCUUCUUUGCCUGCUUGCAUUUACCUUCCAGCACAUCUGUUGGAACCUGCUUCUUCAGGAUUCCAGCUUACACAGAUCACCAGGUGAAACAAUGAGCCUCGUGGGCCUGAGCAACUUCCUAUUCACAGCUGACCAUUGUUGGGUCAACACGUCUAAAAGAAAAACAUUUUUCUCCAUAGCCCCAUGAAGGACUUGGCAGAGGUCAGAGCACCUCCUGGCAGGACUGCAAGAGCCCAGGGCCAUUCCUCCGUGCUGUGACCUGGGGAUGGAAUUGUCAGCCAGGAGGUAGGAGGUGGGCCCCAGGGACCAGGAACGGAAUGCAGUCCCUGGCCAGGCAGACAGGAGACAAGAGGAAGAGAAAAAAGGGAGGGAGAGCGAGAGGAGGAGGGGCAGUGGUAGGAGGGCUUCUUCCCCUUCCCCUGAGAAGCUGCUUUCCCAAUAAAUAACUGGCGUGCCACA